ACGGGUGAGUAAUGUCUGGGGAUCUGCCUGAUGGAGGGGGAUAACUACUGGAAACGGUAGCUAAUACCGCAUAACGUCGCAAGACCAAAGAGGGGGACCUUCGGGCCUCUUGCCAUCGGAUGAACCCAGAUGGGAUUAGCUAGUAGGUGGGGUAAUGGCUCACCUAGGCGACGAUCCCUAGCUGGUCUGAGAGGAUGACCAGCCACACUGGAACUGAGACACGGUCCAGACUCCUACGGGAGGCAGCAGUGGGGAAUAUUGCACAAUGGGCGCAAGCCUGAUGCAGCCAUGCCGCGUGUGUGAAGAAGGCCUUCGGGUUGUAAAGCACUUUCAGCGAGGAGGAAGGCAUUGAGGUUAAUAACCUCAGUGAUUGACGUUACUCGCAGAAGAAGCACCGGCUAACUCCGUGCCAGCAGCCGCGGUAAUACGGAGGGUGCAAGCGUUAAUCGGAAUUACUGGGCGUAAAGCGCACGCAGGCGGUUUGUUAAGUCGGAUGUGAAAUCCCCGGGCUCAACCUGGGAACUGCAUUCGAAACUGGCAAGCUUGAGUCUUGUAGAGGGGGGUAGAAUUCCAGGU
rnacentral:rRNA from 1 species